AAGUUGAAAUAUCAGGGCACAGCUUCGAUUCAGUUCCAAGGAUAAAGUCAGGAUCAUCUCGAUGGAGGAUGAUUCAAAUAGUGAGCUUGAGAAACUUGGAAAGCCACAAGACACACAUAACCACGUACAAGACGAAGCUGCGAGGGUAUAGUAUAAAUCAUCAUUGAUGGAACAGCAUCUUGUGUGAUACCAUAAGUUACAAUUGUCACACUGAAUACCCUUUUGGUUGCUUUUAACUGGUUUGUUGCAAGAGCCACAUGGAAAUUUCCACUUGGGACCCGGGUUUAAUUGAAUAUCGCCACCUAAGAGAAGUAAGCAAAGCAAGAGAUGUUUGUGUUCACUUGAGCUUCGGCCGACGUUCAUCUUAUUUGCUCGUAUAUUGUGGCUGUAAAAGGCUUCAAGACCAGUUAAUAUCGACUCACUGUUCGCCAGGAUGCAGUUCAGACCAAAUCCAUUUAUCCCUGAAGUCAAAUUUGGUGAAUAGUGCAACUUUUGGUUGAA